UACUGCUAUCGAGAUUCGACUAAGCCAUGCGAGNUCGAAUGUUCUUCGUGAACAUGGCGGACUGCUCAGUAACACGUGGACAACCUACCCUUCGGUCCGGCAUAAUCCUGGGAAACUGGGGAUAAUUCCGGAUAAGCCACAUAAGCUGGAAUGCUCUGUGGUCCAAAGCUCCGGUGCCGAAGGAUGGGUCUGCGGCCUAUCAGGGUUGUAGUGGGUGUAAUGCACCUACUAGCCUACGACGGGUACGGGUUGUGAGAGCAAGAGCCCGGAGAUGGAUUCUGAGACACGAAUCCAGGCCCUACGGGGUGCAGCAGGCGCGAAAACUUUACAAUGCGGGAAACCGUGAUAAGGGAAUCUCGAGUGCCAGCAUAUAAUGUUGGCUGUCCAGAUGCCUAAAAAGCAUCUGUUAGCAAGGGCCGGGCAAGACCGGUGCCAGCCGCCGCGGUAACACCGGCGGCCCGAGUGGUAGCCACUAUUAUUGGGUCUG
rnacentral:rRNA from 1 species